AUUGAACGCUGGCGGAAUGCUUUACACAUGCAAGUCGAGCGGCAGCGCGGCCUUCGGGCUGGCGGCGAGCGGCGAACGGGUGAGUAAUGCAUCGGAACAUGCCCAGUCGUGGGGGAUAACACUUCGAAAGAAGUGCUAAUACCGCAUACGUCCUGAGGGGGAAAGCGGGGGAUCGCAAGACCUCGCGCGAUUGGAGUGGCCGAUGUCAGAUUAGCUAGUUGGUGGGGUAAAGGCCUACCAAGGCGACGAUCUGUAGCUGGUCUGAGAGGAUGAUCAGCCACACUGGGACUGAGACACGGCCCAGACUCCUACGGGAGGCAGCAGUGGGGAAUUUUGGACAAUGGGGGCAACCCUGAUCCAGCCAUUCCGCGUGAGUGAAGAAGGCCUUCGGGUUGUAAAGCUCUUUCGGCAGGAACGAAACGGUGGGCUCUAACAUAGUCCGCUAAUGACGGUACCUGAAGAAGAAGCACCGGCUAACUACGUGC
rnacentral:rRNA from 1 species